rnacentral:rRNA from 1 species
UCCCUACGGGGGGCAGCAGUGGGGAAUUUUGGACAAUGGGCGCAAGCCUGAUCCAGCUAUUCCGCGUGUGGGAUGAAGGCCCUCGGGUUGUAAACCACUUUUGUAGAGAACGAAAAGACACCUUUUAAUAAAGGGUGUUGCUGACGGUACUCUAAGAAUAAGCACCGGCUAACUACGCGCCAGCAGCCGCGGUAAUACGGAGGAUGCGAGCGUUAUCCGGAUUUAUUGGGUUUAAAGGGUGCGCAGGCGGGAGAUCAAGUCAGCGGUAAAAUGUCGGGGCUCAACCCCG